rnacentral:rRNA from 1 species
GCAUAUCAAUAAGCGGAGGGAAAAAGAAACUAACAAGGAUUCCCCCUAGUAACUGCGAGUGAAGCGGGAAAAGCUCAAAUUUAAAAUCUGGCAGUUUCACUGUCCGAGUUGUAAUCUGGAGAAGCAUUUUCCGCGUCGGACCGUGUACAAGUCUCUUGGAAUAGAGCGUCAUAGAGGGUGAGAAUCCCGUCCAUGACACGGACCACCGAUGCUUUGUGAUAUGCUCUCGAAGAGUCGAGUUGUUUGGGAAUGCAGCUCAAAAUGGGUGGUAGAUUCCAUCUAAAGCUAAAUAUUGGCGAGAGACCGAUAGCGAACAAGUACCGUGAGGGAAAGAUGAAAAGCACUUUGGAAAGAGAGUUAAACAGUACGUGAAAUUGUUGAAAGGGAAACGCUUGAAGUCAGUCGCGUUGUCUGAGACUCAGCCUUGCUUUGCUUGGUGUACUUCUUAGUUAACGGGUCAACAUCAAUUUUGGUUGGUGGAUAAAGGCUUAGGGAAUGUGGCACCUUCGGGUGUGUUAUAGACCUUUGCUGCAUACACUGACUGGGAUUGAGGAUCGCAGCACGCCAUUAUGGCCGGGGGUUCGCCUCACGUAACGUGCUUAGGAUGUUGGCAUAAUGGCUUUAAGCGACCCGUCUUGAAACACGGACCAAGGAGUCUAACAUGCUUGCGAGUGUUAGGGUGGAAAACCCUUGCGCGUAAUGAAAGUGAAAGUUGGGACCCUUCUGGGGGCACCGACGCCCGGCCUUGAAAUUUAUUGACGGUGCCGCGGUAGAGCACGUAUGUUGGGACCCGAAAGAUGGUGAACUAUGCCUGAAUAGGGUGAAGCCAGGGGAAACUCUGGUGGAGGCUCGUAGCGAUUCUGACGUGCUAAAUCGAUCGUCGAAUUUGGGUAUAGGGGGCGAAAGACUAAUCGAACCAUCUAGUAGCUGGGUUCCUGCCGAAGU